rnacentral:lncRNA from 1 species
AAACUAUGGAUAGUAUCGGGGGGUAAUAUCCAUGGAAAAGUGAGAAUACAGUAAUCUAAGACCAAUAUAAAUAAAAAUCAAGAUUUCUACAGUACCUGAAGAGGUGGUAGUUUUUUUCUUGUGCUAAUGUUAUCACGAGUUUCUGUUUAAGUUUUAUGUUGUGAAGUUUUCAAGUUUUGGGUGAUGUUCUAAUGGACAAAGAGAUAAGGAGUGGAAAGAGAUCAAGCUUGGGGAUGCCCAAGGCAUCCCAAGCCAAAUUCAAGGACACCAAAAAGCCUAAGCUUGGGGAUGCCCCGGGAAGGCAUCCCCUCUUUCGUCUUCAAUCCAUCGGUAACAUUACUUGGAGCUAUAUUUUUAUUCACCACAUGAUAUGUGUUUUGCUUGGAGCGUCAUUUUAUUUUUUUAUAAUAAGGUACUUAGGAUCUGAAAUUCUUAGAUGGGAGAGUC